rnacentral:rRNA from 1 species
GAACGCUGUCGGCAGGCCUAACACAUGCAAGUCGAGCGGUAGAGAGAAGCUUGCUUCUCUUGAGAGCGGCGGACGGGUGAGUAAUGCCUAGGAAUCUGCCUGGUAGUGGGGGAUAACGCUCGGAAACGGACGCUAAUACCGCAUACGUCCUACGGGAGAAAGCAGGGGACCUUCGGGCCUUGCGCUAUCAGAUGAGCCUAGGUCGGAUUAGCUAGUUGGUGAGGUAAUGGCUCACCAAAGGCGACGAUCCGUAACUGGUCUGAGAGGAUGAUCAGUCACACUGGAACUGAGACACGGUCCAGACUCCUACGGGAGGCAGCAGUGGGGAAUAUUGGACAAUGGGCGAAAGCCUGAUCCAGCCAUGCCGCGUGUGUGAAGAAGGUCUUCGGAUUGUAAAGCACUUUAAGUUGGGAGGAAGGGCAUUAACCUAAUACGUUGGUGUCUUGACGUUACCGACAGAAUAAGCACCGGCUAACUCUGUGCCAGCAGCCGCGGUAAUACAGAGGGUGCAAGCGUUAAUCGGAAUUACUGGGCGUAAAGCGCGCGUAGGUGGUUCGUUAAGUUGGAUGUGAAAUCCCCGGGCUCAACCUGGGAACUGCAUUCAAAACUGACGAGCUAGAGUAUGGUAGAGGGUGGUGGAAUUUCCUGUGUAGCGGUGAAAUGCGUAGAUAUAGGAAGGAACACCAGUGGCGAAGGCGACCACCUGGACUGAUACUGACACUGAGGUGCGAAAGCGUGGGGAGCAAACAGGAUUAGAUACCCUGGUAGUCCACGCCGUAAACGAUGUCAACUAGCCGUUGGGAGCCUUGAGCUCUUAGUGGCGCAGCUAACGCAUUAAGUUGACCGCCUGGGGAGUACGGCCGCAAGGUUAAAACUCAA